rnacentral:rRNA from 1 species
UACGUAGGGUGCGAGCGUUAAUCGGAAUUACUGGGCGUAAAGCGUGCGCAGGCGGCUUUGCAAGACAGAUGUGAAAUCGCCGGGCUCAACCUGGGAACUGCAUUUGUGACUGCAAGGCUAGAGUACGGCAGAGGGGGAUGGAAUUCCGCGUGUAGCAGUGAAAUGCGUAGAUAUGCGGAGGAACACCAAUGGCGAAGGCAAUCCCCUGGGCCUGUACUGACGCUCAUGCACGAAAGCGUGGGGAGCAAACAGG